rnacentral:lncRNA from 1 species
UGCCAUGUUCUUGCAAGCAUUGCCCAAUACAAAGGCAUGAAGACUUACAUCUAUGUUUCUCUCUGAGAGUUCUAUAAUUGCAGCUUCUACACUUGUAAUACUUGGUAUGAGCAGUCUUUUGGAGUCCUGUCAUUCACGUUUUUCUCAGCCACGAGCCUUCGAAAGAUAGACCACAUCACGGAAAAUAUCAAGAUUAUACCUGAAAGAUGGAUGUUUUGCCUGCAUUUACGUCCAUCAGCUGCCUGUACACAAUACCGUAGGAAGCCAGAGAAGGUGUUGGAUCUCUGAAACUGGAGCUGCAGAUGGGUGUGUGAGCUGCCAUGUGGGUGCUGGGAACGAAA